rnacentral:rRNA from 1 species
UGUGAAGGAAAGGUGAAAAGAACCCCGGGAGGGGAGUGAAAGAGAACCUGAAACCAUGCGUUUACAAGCAAAUGGAGCACGAUUAGAGCGUGCGACAUUGUACUUUUUGUAGAACGGGCCAGCGAGUUACGAUAUGCAGCGAGGUUAAGGCGUGGAGCGCCGGAGCCGAAGGGAGACCGAGUCUGAAGAGGGCGAAAGAGUUGCAUGUAGUAGACCCGAAACCGGGCGACCUAUCCAUGAGCAGGUUGAAGCGGUGGUAAGACAGCGUGGAGGACCGAACCAGACGCAUGUUGAAAAAUGCGGGGAUGACUUGUGGAUAGCGGAGAAAUUCCAAUCGAGCUCGGAGAUAGCUGGUUCUCCUCGAAAUAGCUUUAGGGCUAGCCUCACUUGAAGAUAUGCGGAGGUAGAGCACUGAAUGGGCUAGGGGGCCACAAAGCUUACCGAACCUUAUCAAACUGCGAAUGCCGUAUAUUAGUGAGUGGGAGUCAGACAGUGGGAGAUAAGUUUCAUUGUCGAAAGGGAAAGAGCCCAGAUCAUCAGCUAAGGCCCCAAAGUGCAGGUUAAGUGGAAAAGGAUGUGUUACUGCAAAGACAACUAGGAUGUUGGCUUAGAAGCAGCCACUCAUUGAAAGAGUGCGUAAUAGCUCACUAGUCGAGUGGUAAUGCGCCGAAAAUGUCCGGGGCUAAAACCUGCCGCCGAAGCUAUGGAUUCUUGUAUGCCGACCAAUGUUUUUUUGGGAAGAGAGGAAAAUUCCUCGCCGGAGGCGAGCAAAUACCAAAAAGAGAAAACCGAAAAGAUGUUGGUAGGCAUACAAGAGUGGUAGAGGAGCAUCGUAUGCGGGCAGAAGCCGUACCGAGAGGAGCGGUGGACUGCAUAGGAGAGAGAAUGCUGGCAUGAGUAGCGAGAGGGAGGUGAGAAUCCUCCCCAUCGAAAGCCUAAGGUUUCCUGGGGAAGGCUCGUCCACCCAGGGUAAGUCGGGACCUAAGCCGAGGACUAGAUGGUCGUAGGCGAUGGACAACAGGUAGAGAUUCCUGUACUGUCUCGAGUGAAUGACUGAAGCAGUGACACAGGAGGAUAGUUCGAGCGGGUUGAUGGUAGAGCCCGUCCAAGCGUUGAGGGAGUGGAGAUAGUGAAGAACGUCUCCAUGGUAAUUCUGAGGCGUGAUGGGGACAGAAAAGAAGUAUGGAAGCGAAUGAAUCCACACUGGCGAGAAAAGCUGCUAGGGAGCGAAGAGGCACCCGUACCGCAAACCGACACAGGUAGGCGAGGAGAGAAUCCUAAGAUGAGCGAGAUAACCAUUGUUAAGGAACUCGGCAAAAUGACUCCGUAACUUCGGGAGAAGGAGUGCCACGGAAGUGGUCGCAGAGAAUAGGUCCAAGCGACUGUUUAGCAAAAACACAGGUCUGUGCGAAAUCGAGAGAUGAAGUAUACGGGCUGACGCCUGCCCAGUGCCGGAAGGUUAAGGGGAAAUGUUAGUGAAAGCGAAGCAUGGAACUUAAGCCCCGGUGAACGGCGGCCGUAACUAUAACGGUCCUAAGGUAGCGAAAUUCCUUGUCGGGU